rnacentral:rRNA from 1 species
UACGGGGGGGCAAGCGUUGUUCGGAAUUACUGGGCGUAAAGGGCUCGUAGGCGGCCAACUAAGUCGGACGUGAAAUCCCUCGGCUUAACCGGGGAACUGCGUCCGAUACUGGAUGGCUUGAGUUUGGGAGAGGGAUGCGGAAUUCCAGGUGUAGCGGUGAAAUGCGUAGAUAUCUGGAGGAACACCGGUGGCGAAGGCGGCAUCCUGGACCAACACUGACGCUGAUGAGCGAAAGCCAGGGAGCAACAGG